AAAGCAUGAGACGAGCAAAUGAAAUUGAGCUGAAUUUAUUGACGAGAAAGUAUCAUUAAAAUAUUCCUUUCAAUCUAGAGUCGCUUCUGGAAAGUGUGUGGGUUAAUUGAGUUUGAAGCGAAAGGACAUUCAUUAGUGGGCAAAUGUCUGAAAACCACAAAAUAUGCGCCGCUGUCUGCGCUGCGGUAGCUGUCGCAGCACGCACCACCAAGCAUAAAUCCAAUUGGAAGCCGAUUUACUGCGGGGGCGGCGGCUGCUACCCACAAAAAUGUUCAAUCAGAAUUUACAAGGGCUUGACAUUUAAAUUAACACUGGACCAGGCAACACAUUUGGUGGUGGAAAAAAGGAUAUGCAGGACUUUGGACUGGAUGCGAACGCCACUUGGUUAGUCCUUCCGGGUUGCUGCUGAGCGUCGGUUGUUGUUGUUGUUGCUUAGGUAGAAAGCAAUUAUUUAUUGAUAUACAUGUUUCAGUUGGUUUUGACAUUCAGUUUUAUUUUCGCUGUAAAUUUUCAUUGUUAUAAAUGAAAAAUGAAAUUUAUUUUAACUCUGAGUAUAACUAGCGUAUUCAUAAAAUUUCGUUUAAAUUACAUAAUAUUAAACUAGAUAUUUUCCCUUUGCUCUCUCUCUCUCUCCUUCCCUCACUGUUUAUCUACGCUUGGAGUUUUUCUUUGUCUGCAUGCUUAUUGGUUUUUCAUUUAUCUUUGAUUCCCUCAUUUGUCUAGUUAUAUAUUUUGUUGUUUUUGUUUUGGUUUUACAUUGAAAAGUGAGAACAGAACAUGACAUAUGAGACAGUAUUAGGGAUAGGGUGUAGUAUAUGUGGAGAGUAUACGAACAGAAAUACAAUGAAUAAUACAGAACGUGCCGUACGUAUAAGAUGACUAAACCAAACCACAUAAAAAC